GACGAACGCUGGCGGCGCGCCUAACACAUGCAAGUCGAACGGAGCUGAGAGAAGCUUGCUUUUCUUGACUUAGUGGCGAACGGGUGAGUAACGCGUGAGUAACCUGCCCUGGAGUGGGGGACAACAGUUGGAAACGACUGCUAAUACCGCAUAAGCCCACGGAUUCGCAUGGAUCUGCGGGAACAGGAUUUAUUCGCUUCAGGAUGGACUCGCGUCCAAUUAGCUAGUUGGUGAGGUAACGGCCCACCAAGGCGACGAUUGGUAGCCGGACUGAGAGGUUGAACGGCCACAUUGGGACUGAGACACGGCCCAGACUCCUACGGGAGGCAGCAGUGGGGGAUAUUGCACAAUGGGGGAAACCCUGAUGCAGCGACGCCGCGUGGAGGAAGAAGGUUUUCGGAUUGUAAACUCCUGUCGUUAGGGACGAUAAUGACGGUACCUAACAAGAAAGCACCGGCUAACUACGUGCCAGCAGCCGCGGUAAAACGUAGGGUGCAAGCGUUGUCCGGAAUUACUGGGUGUAAAGGGAGCGCAGGCGGACCGGCAAGUUGGAAGUGAAAACUAUGGGCUCAACCCAUAAAUUGCUUUCAAAACUGCUGGCCUUGAGUAGUGCAGAGGUAGGUGGAAUUCCCGGUGUAGCGGUGGAAUGCGUAGAUAUCGGGAGGAACACCAGUGGCGAAGGCGAC
rnacentral:rRNA from 1 species